rnacentral:rRNA from 1 species
CCUACGGGAGGCAGCAGUGGGGAAUAUUGGACAAUGGGGGCAACCCUGAUCCAGCCAUGCCGCGUGUGUGAAGAAGGCCCUCGGGUUGUAAAGCACUUUCAGUGAGGAAGAACGCCUGGUGGUUAAGACCCAUCAGGAAAGACAUCACUCACAGAAGAAGCACCGGCUAACUCCGUGCCAGCAGCCGCGGUAAUACGGAGGGUGCGAGCGUUAAUCGGAAUUACUGGGCGUAAAGCGCGCGUAGGUGGCUUGAUAAGCCGGUUGUGAAAGCCCCGGGCUCAACCUGGGAACGGCAUCCGGAACUGUCAAGCUAGAGUGCAGGAGAGGAAGGUAGAAUUCCCGGUGUAGCGGUGAAAUGCGUAGAGAUCGGGAGGAAUACCAGUGGCGAAGGCGGCCUUCUGGACUGACACUGACACUGAGGUGCGAAAGCGUGGGUAGCAAACAGGAUUAGAUACCCGUGUAGUC